UACAGAGGAUGCAAGCGUUAUCCGGAAUCACUGGGCGUAAAGCGUCUGUAGGUGGUUUAAAAAGUCCACUGUUAAAAAUUGAAGCUUAACUUCAAAGAUGCCGUGGAAACUUUUAAACUUGAGUAUGGUAGGGGUAGAGGGAAUUUCCAGUGGAGCGGUAGAAAUGCGUAGAUAUUGGAAAGACCACCAAUGGCGAAGGCACUCUACUGGGCCAUUACUGACACUGAGAGACGAAAGCUAGGGGAGCAAAUGGG
rnacentral:rRNA from 1 species